rnacentral:lncRNA from 1 species
UUGAAUAUCAAAAACUACUUAAAAUGAAUUAAAAAUGACCAGAAAAGAGAAAAUUGUUAAAAAAUAGCAAAUGAUAAAAUAAAAAAAAUUAAAAAUCAUUUUUAAAAACUAGAAAUUAAAAGAGAAAUAAUGCAAUUGGUCCCAUAUUUUUUGGACCAAUAAUAAAAGAGAUAUGGAUUUUAGAAAUAAAAUAGAAUUAAAAGAAAUAAAGAAAAUAAAAUCAGAAAUUAGAAAAU